AGAGUUUGAUCAUGGCUCAGGAUAAACGCUAGCGGCGUGCCUUAUGCAUGCAAGUCGAGCGGUCUAUCGAAAGAUAGAUAGCGGCAAACGGCUGAGUAACACGUAAGUAACCUAUCCCAAAGUGGGGAAUAACCUGCCGAAAGGUGGACUAAUACCGCAUGUGGUAAUGGGGUUAGUUCCUCAUUAUUAAAGCUUACGGGCGCUUUGGGAGGGGCUUGCGUCCUAUCAGGUAGUUGGUGGGGUAAUGGCCUACCAAGCCUAUGACGGGUAGCUGGUUUGAGAGGAUGUCCAGCCAGACGGGGACUGAGACACGGCCCCGACUCCUACGGGAGGCAGCAGCAGGGAAUUUUGCGCAAUGGGCGAAAGCCUGACGCAGCAACGCCGCGUGAGGGAAGAAGACCUUCGGGUUGUAAACCUCUUUUGUCAGGGAAGAAAAAUGACGGUACCUGACGAAUAAGUCACGGCUAACUACGUGCCAGCAGCCGCGGUAAUACGUAGGUGGCAAGCGUUAUCCGGAUUCAUUGGGCGUAAAGCGCGCGUAGGUGGUCCUUCAAGUCAGAUGUGAAAUCUCCCGGCUUAACUGGGAGCGGUCAUCUGAUACUGCUGGACUUGAGGAUGGUAGAGGGAGGUGGAAUUCCCGGUGUAGUGGUGAAAUGCGUAGAUAUCGGGAGGAACACCAGUGGCGAAAGCGGCCUCCUAGGCCAUACCUGACACUGAGGCGCGAAAGCGUGGGGAGCGAACAGGAUCAGAUACCCUGGUAGUCCACGCCAUAAACUGUGGAAACUAGGUACAGGGAGUAUCGACCCUUCCUGCGCCGUAGCUAACGCGUUAAGUUUCCCGCCUGGGGACUACGGUCGCAAGACUAAAACUCAAAUGAAUUGACGG
rnacentral:rRNA from 1 species